rnacentral:rRNA from 1 species
UGGAAUAUGCUUGUUUCAAAGAUUAAGCCAUGCAUGUCUGAGCAUGCGCUGAAGUAAAGUGAAGCCGCGAAUAGCUCAUUACAACAGCCGUUGUUUCUUGGAUCCCUUCUCUACUUGGAUAACUGUGGUAAUUCUAGAGCUAAUACAUGCAAUCAAGCCCUGAUCGUGAGUGACGGGCGCAUUUAUUAGAACAAGACCAUCUGGCAUUAUGCCAUUUGUUGGUGACUCUGAAUAACUGAGCCGAUCGCACGGGCUUGUCCCGGCGACGUAUCUUUCAAGUGUCUGCCUUAUCAGGUUUCGUUGGCGGUUUAUGUGACCGCCAAGCCUGUAACGGGUAACGGAGGAUCAGGGUCUGACUCCGGAGAGGGAGCCUGAGAAACGGCUACCACUUCUAAGGAAGGCAGCAGGCGCGCAAAUUACCCAUUCUUGGCUCAAGGAGGUAGUGACGAAAAAUACCAAGGUGAGGCUCAUUGAGCUUGACCAUUGGAAUGAGAACAAUCUAAAUCCUUUAACGAGGAUCUAGU